UGUAUGUUCUGGSGAAGUUUCCCUCRGGAAAAUGUUUUCCBCDCUGGACCGUGUACAAGUCCUUUGGAACAAGGCGUCAUAGAGGGUGAGAAUCCCGUCUACGACACGGACUGCCAAGCGCUUUGUGAUACACUCUCAACGAGUCGAGUUGUUUGGGAAUGCAGCUCAAAAUGGGUGGUAAAUUCCAUCUAAAGCUAAAUAUGGGCGAAAGACCGAUAGCGAACAAGUACCGUGAGGGAAAGAUGAAAAGCACUUUGGAAAGAGAGUUAAACAGUACGUGAAAUUGUUGAAAGGGAAACGCUUGAAGUCAGUCGCGUCUUCARAAAUUCAGCAGGGCUUCUGCCCUGCKUACUUUUCUGUGGGACGGGYCASCAUCAGUUUUGGCCGCCAGAAAAAGGUGGGAGGAAGGUGGCACCUCCGGGUGUGUUAUAGCCUCCUAUCGUAUGUGGCGGCCGGGACUGAGGACCGCAGCACGCCUUCAUGGCCGGGGUUCGCCCACGUAACGUGCUUAGGAUGCUGGCGUAAUG
rnacentral:rRNA from 1 species